UUCCCUAAGGAAUGUGUGGCAGCCGGAGA
rnacentral:piRNA from 1 species